rnacentral:rRNA from 1 species
GAUGAACGCUGGCGGCGUGCCUAAUACAUGCAAGUCGAGCGAACAGACGAGGAGCUUGCUCCUCUGACGUUAGCGGCGGACGGGUGAGUAACACGUGGAUAACCUACCUAUAAGACUGGGAUAACUUCGGGAAACCGGAGCUAAUACCGGAUAAUAUAUUGAACCGCAUGGUUCAAUAGUGAAAGACGGUUUUGCUGUCACUUAUAGAUGGAUCCGCGCCGCAUUAGCUAGUUGGUAAGGUAACGGCUUACCAAGGCAACGAUGCGUAGCCGACCUGAGAGGGUGAUCGGCCACACUGGAACUGAGCCACGGUCCAGACUCCUACGGGAGGCAGCAGUAGGGAAUCUUCCGCAAUGGGCGAAAGCCUGACGGAGCAACGCCGCGUGAGUGAUGAAGGUCUUCGGAUCGUAAAACUCUGUUAUUAGGGAAGAACAAAUGUGUAAGUAACUAUGCACGUCUUGUCGGUACCUAAUCAGAAAGCCACGGCUAACUACGUG